GUGCUCACUUCAGCAGCACAUGCACUACACCUGGAAUAGUACAGAGAAGAUUAGCAUGGUCUCUGCACCAGGAUGGCACACACAUUCAUGAAGCAUCCCACAUUUUU